UUUUUUUUUCAUCAGGUAGAUUGUCUUCCUCAUUGUGCCAACAACACAGUUAAUCCUAAAAUGGAGUCACAAAGUUAAAGACUAAUCAUCUUCUUUCAAACAAAUGCCUUGAUUAUACACAUGGUUUAAUAGAAUGGAUUACAUCACACUCGUCAUAUAUUUUAAUCGCUACAGAGAAUUAACACAACAAUAUCAACUAUUUAUACCUAACACCAGUACUCUCUCCGUUCCUAAAUAUAAUUCUUUUUAGAGAUUCCAAUACGAACUACAUACGGAUGUAUAUAGAUAUAUUUUAGAGUGUAGGUUCACUCAUUUUGCUCCGUAUUUAGUCCAUAUUGGAAUCUCUAAAAAAGACUUAUAUUUAGGAACGGAGGGAGUAGUCAAGCAAAAUACAUACGCACAUAUAAUGACUAAAAAAGCCUGGGGCAAGUUUAAUAACUAUUCUCCGAGACAAAUGCCUCAUUAUUCCACACGGUUUAGUAUAAUAGAUUACAUCUGACUCUUAACCUCUGUUCAUCAUCAUUGAGAACAAUAACACUAGAAAUACCGACAAUUUGACUUGAAUGUCAUGACUCAUGGGCGGCCUAGCAAAUCUUCUCUUAUCAACCUGUGCACACACACUACAUCUAAUGCGUAGUAGCAACCACAGAGCAAAAUAUGUUGCUUCUUGUCCGUGGUUUAAAUUAAGUGAAAUUUUCAAGGUUAGCAUAUCAUCGUGUAGCACGGUUGCUAUUUGUAUGUACACACAUACAAAAAUAAGGUGUGUGCAUUGAAUGCUUCAUCCUAGUGAUCCUUCCAUUGUCUAAAAAGUGUCCAGGGGUUAGUAUUGAUAUUUGGUCACAUCGGAUUUAAGCUAAGCCCGUGAUGCAGACUCAAGUUUGAAAUAUGUCAGGCCCUGACCUUGAGCAUGAUCUGUUUGACAGCUCUAGCAAAAUGAUAGAUUCAACCCAAGAAAAUUAGUGAUGAAAUAGUAAUAGAUUGAUAUCUUCUCCUAUUAGUCACCUACCGACAUUCAUAAAUUGCGAUAGUACUUGAGCCAUCAAAGUUGCAGGGAGGGACUUGAAAAUAACUUUGCCAUGUGCAAGGUUAUUACCUCAAGUACUUGACCACAAGUAGUAUAUGGUAUCAUCUUUGCUAUUUCCUUUCUAGAAGUCAGUUCACACGACGCACAGACGCAUUCUUGUGACCCGUGAUUAACAAUGUUUGUGAUCCUAACCAAACACAUUGCUCAUCACAUUUUAGCCUCUUUUGUUUGUUGUAAGCAUGUGAAGACAAAAUCACUUGUUGAUGUGAAUGUGGUGCACUGAAGCACCAUGGCGGCUUGGGAAUGAGUGGCAUCGUGAAAACAUGUCAAACAAUGAUGAUUCUUGAGGUUGUUUGGUUUGGUUCCUGGUCACAAGGUGUGGAUGUUGUGUGGAGGACGUUUAGUGUGUGUCCUCGAGAGUGGAUGGCUUGCCCGUCAUGAUUCCAUAUAGGCAUGAGAUUAUCCUGGCCCAAGCGCUCGAACUCCGAUGCAUGUGCGAGCAUCGUCUGCAACCUGGAUGCUAAGCGCUUGGUUGGUACUUCGGUUUCCAGCCGAAUCCCUCUGUAAAACAUACACCCCUGUAAAGAAGAUCAUUUUUGCCCUAGAAAAAUUACACCCGUUUCUUAGAUUAUGCUGGUAUUUGUCCGGUAUUUCCCUUUGUCUCGAUCCACAUAAACGAGUACAAGCACACACGCCCCGGGACGGCCUGUGCCAAAGCAGGGCACCAGCGACCGUGACGGUUGGGCUGGAGGAUCCCUGGCUCUCACCGGCCAUAAAAAUGCAAGGACUGGGUGGCAAUUGUUAGAACUCAGAAAAUUAAGAGUAAACUUGUAUUGGUUGAUAGACAGAGUACAACUUAUAUAUGUCUUGAAGAGAUGCAUCUCAUAGGUCGCGACGGUUCAUACAGGCGCAUCCUAGAGAUGCGUCGGUUGGUGCUAAGUAAUUGCCGUGCAGUUAAACAAGAGGAGAUUUUCCCUAAUUAAUAUAUGUGCAAAUUAAUCACAACACUCCCCCUAGUCUAUGCUUGUCUAUAUAGAAUCGUCAUAGGAUCAUCAGGUAGAAUCGUCAUCUUGAAAGAUUGUCCAGGUUGCAUCAUCAUCUCAAAGGAUUCUUCUCCGACAAUUCUUCAUUAAUAUUCUUGACGAGAACCUGAAACAUAAAAUUCACAGAGAAAAAGAAAUGUAAUAUGAUACUUCAAACAGGUACAGUUCAAGGAGACACUCCCCCUGAUUCUUGCAAGUCCCGAAGUCGUCGCAUACCAAUUCCAUGAACAUAUUUCUGGAAUGUAGAAUUUGGUAGAGACUUGGUAAAUAAAUCAGCAAGAUUUUCACAUGAUUUAAUUUGCAAGAUGUUUAUUUCCCCCUUUUUCUGAAGAUCAGGGGAAAAAGCACUUAGGAGAAAUAUGUUUAGUGAUAUUACUGUUGAUGUAUCAUGUUUGCAUCUGUGCAACACAACCGCAUUAUCUUCGUAGAUAAUGGUAGGUGAUUCUAUAGAACCAAUUCCACAUGACUGUUGUAUGUGGUUUAUCAUUCUACGAAGCCACACACAUUCGCGUGAUGCCUCAAAUAAUGAAAUUAUUUCAGAAUGAUUGGUAGAUGUUGCCACCAGAGUCUGUUUAGAAGACUUCCAUGAUAUGGCAGUUCCACCAUGUAGGAACACAAAGUCGGACUGCGAUCUGGCAUUAUGGGAUCAGAUAAAUAGCCAGCAUCGGCGUAUCCAAUCAUAUUAGAGUCUUGAUUUCUCUGGAACUGAAAGAAUAGGCCAAGAUCCUUUGUGCCUUGGAGAUAUCGAAAGAUAUUCUUAACUCAGGACCAAUAGCGUUUGGUGGGAGCUGCGCUAUGUCUAGCAAGUAGAUUCACUGCAAAUGCGAGGCCAGGUCUCGUGCAAUUUGCAAGAUACGUGAGCGCUCCAACGGCACUAAGAUAUGGAACCUCAGGUCCCAAUAUUUCUUCUCCAUCGUCCCUUGGCCUGAACGGAUCUUUCUCUACGUCUAGAGAGCGAACCACCAUGGGAGUUUUAGAUGGGUAGGAUUUGUCCAUAUUGAAUUUCUCCAAUAUUUUCUGGAUAUAAGCAGCUUGGUAUACCAUGAUUCCUGAGGUGAGGUGCUCAAAUUGAAUACCUAAGCAAAUUUUGGUUUUACCCAAAUCCUUCAUCUCAAAUUCUAUCUUUAGAUGAUUGUGUGCUUCAUCAAUGUCAUGUGUGUUGCCAAUGAUGUUGAGGUCAUCGACGUACACUGAAAUGAUGCAAAAUCCUGUAUAGGACUUUUUGAUAGACACAUGGGCAAUCACUACUAUUAGAGUAGCCUUUUUGUAGAAGGAACUCAUUAAGUCGGUUGUACCACAUCCGUCCCGACUGUCUUAAGCCAUAUAUUGACUUAUUAAGUUUUACACAAUACAUGUUGCAUUUUGCGCUUGUAUUCGGGAUAGAGAUUCCGUCAGGAACCUUCAUAUACAUGUCUAAAUCUAGUGACCCGUAAAGAUAUGCGGUCACGACAUCCAUCAACUGCAUAUAUAGACGGUUUUGCACUGCCAAAGAUAUAAGGUAUCGGAAAGUGGUUCCACUCAUUACAGGAGAAUAUGUUUCAUCAAAAUCAAUGUCGGGUCUCUGCGUGAACCCUUGCGCUACGAGCCUUGCUUUGUAUCUCACCACCUCAUUGUUCUCAUUCCGUUUCCGGAGAAAAACCCAUUUGUAUCCGACAGGGAAAACAUUGGGAGGUGUCGGUAUUGCUUUAGUGAAUACCUUUCUUUUGUUAAGCGAGGCAAUUUCUGCUUGUAUUGCGUCCUUCCAUUUAGGCCAGUGGGAGCGCUUUUGGCACUCAACGAUAGUCUUUGGAUCAUGAUCAGUCAUAAGGAUAUCUGCAAUUUUUUCAGCAAAAUAAAUGUUGACAGUCGUAAACUUACGGUCGAAAGAUUCUCCAGAAUCGAUAUAGUUGAUGGAAAUUUCCUGCACCCCUAGUGACUCUUCAUGUUUUCCCAAUACGCGUGAGUCUGGGUGUUUUGAUGGCCCAGCCAGUGUGUGCAAACUGAAGCUGGGUUGUGGAGGUUGUCCUUCCACUGGGUGUAUACUACCCAUAAGGUGUUUGUCAAUGUUGAGCUGACCUGCAUUUACUAACUCCGGGGUUUUUCUCCUCGAUCUCCUUUGUUGCUUGCUGGAAGCUUGUUCCAGGUCAGAGGUCGUACUACUCCCCCUCUUUUUAGGAAUAGGGAGUUGAGUGGUUUUUAUUAGUACCUCCACUCUUUCGGGCGCAUUUCUGGACGGAUUUAAGGACUUUGUAACACCUUUUAGAUCAGUAAAUGAAUCUGGCAGGUUAUUUGCAAGAUGUUGCAAAUUAAUGAUUUUCCAAACUUGGAGUUCAGUCUCUUGUGUACGUGGAUCAGAGUACGAAAUGGCUUGAGCAUUCCAAUCAAUUUCCGGGCAUUCUUUCUGGUACUUGAAAUCUCCCCCUAAUGCCGGAAAGUGUUCCUCAUUAAAUAUACAAUCAGCGUGACGGGCUGUGAACAGGUCCCCAGUAAGUGGUUCUAGGUACUUAAUAAUCGACGGCGAUUUGUACCCCACAUAGAUCCCCAAUUUCCUAUGUGGGCCCAUGGAUGUCCGCUGUGGUGGUGAGAACGGGAUGUAUGCAGCACAUCCGAACUUGUGCAGAUGGGAAAUGCUAGGAGGAUUUCCACGUACCAAUUGUAGAGGGGAAGUACUGUGAUAUGCAGUAGGCCUCAAUUGUAUCAAGUCAGCAGUGUGUAGGCAAGUUGCAAUUCAUUAACAAAGGUCUUGCAAUGAGUUUGAUCAUUUUAAUCAAUGAUUCAGCUAAACCAUUUUGUGUAUGGACAUAUGGAACGGAGUGCUGAACUUCAAUCCACAGGGCCAUGCAAUAAUCAUUGAAAGCACGUGAGGAGAAUUCUGCAGCGUUGUCCAUGCGAAUUGUCUUAAUUUGGCUUUCUGGAUAAUGGGCUUGUAACUUAAUAACUUGCCUCAUUAUCUUGGCAAAUGCAUGGUUUCACGUGGAUAGAAGAUACACGUGUGACCAUCAUGUAGAUGCAUCAAUUAGAACCAUGAAGUACCGGAAAGGUCCAGAUAAUGGUUGGAUGGGACCACAAAUGUCUCCUUGAAUGCGUUCAAGAAAUUGAAGUGGUUCAACUUGUAUUUUGAGGUAGACAGAGUACAGCUUAUAUAUGUCUUGAAGAGAUGCGUCGCACAAGUCGCGACGGUUCGUACAGGCGCAUCCUAGAGAUGCGUCGGUUGGUGCUAAGUAACCGCUGUGCAGUUAAACAAGAGGAGAUUUUCCCUAACUAAUACUUCCUCCUUUCCAUUAUGUAAGGUGUAUUAUUUUCAGCAUGGUGACCAAGGCACAAAAUUAUAGACAUGUUAGGACUGAAUUACCCUUGGCAAAUUUGUUAAUUAGUGAUAAGUAAAUCAAUUAGUCCAGGAAAGUAAGAGAUGCAUGCAAUCGACAGAGAGAUACUUUCCUUAUUUUGCCAAAGGAGAGAUAUAGACAAUCAGGAGAGGGAUACUUUCCAUUUUUAUACAGGGCUAACAAGGGAAGAAGAAAUGCACCUGCAAAUUAAUCACAGCAGCAAUCACUCUCUGCUCCCAACCUGGCUGGGGGUGGCAACAAGGUGGGUCUCGGACUCCAACUCCUGGCCCGGUGGAUCUCGUCCUCGCGCCUGACCGUGUUGUGACGAACGAGGGGCAGAUGCCUCUGAGCAUGUUUGGUAUGCCGCGUCCUCGAGCACUCAAACAGUGCAUGGGAGCACCGGCUGCAGUCUAUGUGCCCCCUUAUAAAAAAGGAGAAAGAUUGCACAUAUCUCUCUUUUUCUAAAGAUUUAUCACAAGUACAGAGCACCCCUAGAAUGGAGAAAAAUGACUCUCAACACUAAGCCAAGAGAUCAUCUAAAAGAUAAGAGAAGUUGUAAAAUUGUUUCUCUCUUUCAAUCUGCGCCUGAAACAAAACUACGGCUGCAGAGGAAGAGCUCCGUAAUGAGGUCUGCUUGUUGUAGGGGCAGAUUGAGUACUCAUAGCAAUUCCAGUUGUAAAUAUGCUUUCGACAAGCAAAUGGAAACAAAACAAACUAAAAUAACACUCAAAACAUCAGAUGCAUGCCAGAAAAGAAGGAACAGGCAGGGCAACAGAUCAAAAAUAGACGAUAAUAUUUCUUAAGCCAAAUAUCCAGCCUUGGAAGGAAAGCAUAUAAUUAUCCUCAUGUUACAAGGGUUGGCAUCCCCCAAAUAUCACAACAACCCAGACAUAUCAGGAACCAAAAGACCCUAUCAUCCCAACAGACUGGUGCAGUGAUACAAGGUUAAGCUUUCUCCUCGUUCACCUACUUGGAUCGCUGCCUCAUCUUUCGGCGCUUCCUCUUGAGCCUCCUCAUCCUCUUCUUCUUCCACUGCAAAGUAAAGUAGCCGCACAGUUCAUUAACACUAGAAAUAUUCCAGGAAAUGCUUAGGAACACAACAAUAAUUCCAAUAUGAAAACUGAGAUAUAGUACUAUGUGACUUGGAAUCAGAAGAUUGAGUGUUUCAUUGGAUAUCAUCACAUGAUUUUCAGAAACACGGACCAAUUGUUCUUCAUCAUAUCCCAAACUGAAGUCAAUUUCAAAGGCAAAUAGGAAAAAACUAUGAUAAGAUAUCUGAAGAACCAGCUAAGCAAAGUAUAGAAUCACAGUCGGUUUGACAUUCAGAAUGAGUAGGAGGAUUUUAUCAUCAAAUAGAUCAGACGCCAAUUGUCUUCCUCAUCAUGCCAACCGACGCAAUUGUUUAUACAAAAAAAAGUAGGGAGAAUGAGCACUCUAGGAGAUGCAUAGGAACAUAACAACAAUUCAAUCAUGAAAAUGGAAAGAUAGUUCAUGUGAUUUAGAAUCAGAAGAUUUGAGUGUUUCAUUGGUUAUCAUCACAUGAUUUUCAGAAACACGGACCAAUUGUUCUUCAUCAUAUCCCAAACUAAAGCUGAUUUCAAAGGCAAAUAGGAAACAACUAUGCUAAGAUAUCUAAAGAACUACUUAAGCAAAGCAGAGAUCUGCAUUCGGUUUGACAUUCAGAAUGAGUAGGAGGAUUUUAUCAUCAAAUAGAUCAGACAGCAAUUGUCUUCCUCAUCAUGCCAACCACACAAUUAUACACAAAACAAACAGCGGGAGAAAACGAGCUAAGCAAUCAGCGUUCUCUCAGACAAAUGCCUCGAUUGUCCACAUGGUGUAAUAGAAUGGAUUACAUCAGACUCGUCAUCUGUUUUAAUCAUCACAGAGAACAAACACAACACUAACAACAUUGUACCGAACACCAGCAGUCAAGCAAAUCUAAUGAAGACACAUGCAGAAAUUGCGUCAAAGAAAGAAGAAGACAAAGUUAGGGGGCAUUGACAAGUAUUCUCUCAGACAAAUGCCUCGAUUGUCCACACGGUGUAAUAGAAUGGAUUACAUCAGACUCGUCAUCUGUUUUCAUCAUCAUAGAGAACAAUAGCCCAGUUGACUUGAGUGACACAGGCGGCCAAACAAAUCUAACCUUAUCCUACAUCUACACAGCAGCAAUCACAAAAUUAAAAGCUUGAAAAAAACCAGAGUUCUCUCAGACAAAUGCCUCGUGUUGUCCCCACGGUUGAAUGGAAUGGAUUGUAUCGGACAUCUAAUCAGUGUUGAUCAUCACGGAGAACCACAAACAAAAAAAAUCCCAUCAAUGCAAAACGCAUCUAGACUCAAAACGAACAAGCUGCAUCUACAAAAUCCAAUGUUCUCUCAGACAAAUGCCUCGAUUGUCCACAUGGUUUAUAGAAUGGAUUGCAUCGGACUCGUCAUCUGUUUUCAUCAUCACAGAGAACCGCAAACACGCAACUACAACUACCGAGCGCGCGCGCUACCGAGAGAACCACUAGAUCACAUCGAGCAGUCGGUUCAAAAGGUAGAGAUGAAUCGGGAACGAACCUUGGCCCUCAUCGCGGAGGUGGCGGCGGCGGCGCAGCAGGCGGACUGGGUCUCGGUAUCUGCUUGCUGCGGCGGCGGCGGAGGUGUACGAGGAUGGCUCUCGCGUGGUACUUAUAGAGGUCGGAAAGGAACCCUAACCCAGGAGGGAUGGACGGCUCAGAUCGAGAUGCGCUGAGUUGGGCCUUGACUCUUUGGCCCAUAUGUAUUUGUAAGAGAUGAUGAUUAGAAUUUUUGGGAGCAACUUUCCUUGGGCCACAGGAGCCUGUUUGGGACUACUUCGCUCCUUAAAAUUUAGUUUCGCUCUAGAAAAUGCAAGCCAAAUGAGGUAGCUCCACGAUAUACCGCUUCGUAAAAAAACUAGAAUCUGAGAGUGUGUCGUGCAUCCAGCCGUCGCCAUGUGUCGCGUGUUGUGCGCAUCUUUGGGAUUUUAUUUUUUAUUUUUACACAUGUUUUUGGAUUUUAUAUGGUUUUUUGUGCUUUUGCUUGGCUUCCUCUUUAUUUUGGCAUAUUUUUUUUCAGAAAGCAACACAUUUGGGCGAGGAGCACAACAUGUGCUUCUCCGAGAAGCACAGUUGUGCUUCCUAGAAAAUAAACACGGUCAUGAAAAGUACAACCUUGCUUUCAUGAGAAAUACAACCUUGCUUCCAGAGAAGAAUAUUUGUGCUUCCCAAAAAUGAAAAAUAGAGCAAUGCUUCCUUGAAAAAGGGAAAAGCACAGUUUGUGCUUCUGCGUGAGAACUACACAUUAUGCUUCCCCGAAUAAAGGGAAAAUCACAGCUUGUCCUUCUGCGUGAGAAGCACACAUUGCCCUUCUCCGAAAAAAGGGAAAAGAAAAGCCUGUGCUUCCUAAAAAAGACUAAAAUGAAACUAUGCUUCCGGGCUUCGGUUUUUAUUCCUUUGGGGGGCUUUAUUACCGUUUUUCUUUCAGUUUCCUUCUUUUUCUUGCUUUUCUUUUUUCGUACAAAAAUUCAUUGAAACAUUGACCUGGGAUCUAGUUUUGAAUCUCAACAUGAGAAAUUCAACGGUGAAAACGGUUCGGGAUUUGGACCCAUGGUUCAAAAGAUGAACUAUUUUGAAGAAACAAAUCUAUUAAAAAAACUCCUAGAUUGCGAGAAGUGACGUAUUGGGUCUCCGUAUCUGCUUGGUGCAGCGGCGGAGGUGUACGAGGAUGGCUCCCGUGUGGUACUUAUUAGAGGUCGUAAAGGAACCCUAACCAAGAGGGGUGGACGGCUCAGAUCGAGAUGCGCUGAGUUGGGCCUUAACUCUUUGGCCCAUAUGUAUUUGUAAGAGAUGAUGACCAGAAUACUUGGGAGCAACUUUCCUUGGGCCACAGGGGCCUGUAUGGGACUACUUCGCUCCUUAAAAUUUAGCCCCGCUUUCGAAAACGCAAGCCAAAUGGAUAGCUCCAUGAUAUACCGCUCCGUAAAAAAAACUAGAAUUUGAGAGUGUGUCGUGCAUCCAACCGCCGCCACGUGUCGCGUGUUGUGCGCAUAUUUGGGAUUUUAUUUUUUAUUUUUGCACAUGUUUUUGGAUUUUAUAUGGUUUUUUGGGCUUUUGCUUGGCUUCCUCUUUAUUUUGGCAUUUUUUUCCAGAAAGCAACGCAUUUGGGCGAGGAGCACAACAUGUGCUUCUCCGAGAAGCGCAGUUGUGCUUCCUAGAAAAUAAACACGGUCAUGAAAAGUGCAGCCUUGCUUCCGCGAGAAGAAUAUUUAUGCUUCCAAAAAAUGAAAAUUAGAGUAAUGCUUCCUUGAAAAAGGGAAAAGCACAGUUUGUGCUUCUGUGUGAGAACCACACAUUAUGCUUCUCCGAAAAAAGGGAAAAGCACAGAUUGUCCUUUUGCGUGAGAAGCACACAUUGCGCUUCUCCGAAAAAAGGGAAAAGAAAAGCCCGUGCUUCCUAAAAAAGGCUAAACUGAAACUAUGCUUCUGGGCUUCGGUUUUUAUUCCUUUUUGGGUUUUUAUUACCGUUUUUCUUUCAGUUUCCUACUUUUUCUUGGUUUUCUUUUUUUCGAAAAAAAGGUUUGUUGAAACAUUGACAUGGGAUCUAGUUUUGAAUCUGGAGGCAAGAAAUUCAACGGUGAAAACGGUUUGGGUUUGGAUGCAUGGUUCAAAAGAUGAACUAUUUUGAAAAAACAAAUCUAUAAAAAAAACUCCUAGAUUGUGAGAAGUGACAUACAUGGACUGCGGCUCUAGUUAGCAUCAUAGAAGGUAGAGAAUGACCUUUGAAAUGGGUACCUUUUAAUUAGUGAUUUUGAGAAUUUUGUAUCCUAUUGUUCAUACCUUCGUUUUGUUUACCCUGCAUUUGGUCCAUGUUCAUUUUAUAAGUCGUAUUUUGGCUUAUCAUAGAAAUUGUUUUUAAGAUACUUUUUUGAGUUUUUUUCAAGAUAUUAGUGAUCAUGCAAUUACGGGUGGACAUAUUAGAGCACCUAUAACCAUAACGCCACUUCCCCCUGAUGUCCAGACGAACAACUUGGACAUUGCCCGGAUCCAAAAACGCUACCCGACCGGGCCCCCCAAAGCCAACUUGUACGUUCGGGCUGUCUGGCAUCCCUCAUAUCCAACCUAUGUGUGACGGAUUUGAGCCUGCCUAGACGCACUCGCAUGUUGGACCAACAUGCAGGACCCCGUGCAGAAAUGCGUCGGUCUGCCCCGAGGCUUAAUAGUUUGUUGUUC
rnacentral:lncRNA from 1 species